UGUGAAAGGUGCGAUUGUUGGUUGCCAUUACCUUUGUUUCCGGGUGGAUGACGGCCAACUGGCGCGAAAAAGAAAAACGAAGUUCUCCAGUACUUCAGCUCGCUCAGAAAAAUCGAGACUUAAGACAACAAAGUAGGGCUUAAGUGGUGAGAUCAAAAAGACGAAGACCUCACAAAACCUUCACGAUUAGGGAUACCUUCAGUUGCCAAGCGGCAGGCAAACAUUAAAAUGAUUGAUCGAGAAGACUACGGUACACGGAUUUAGCGAAGAGCAUCCGGGCUUUGUUAAUCAUACAUUUUUUGAAAGAUGGAAAUCAACAUAGCGAAGCUGUUUGUUAAAACUGUCGAUUG